rnacentral:tRNA from 1 species
GCGCCCGUAGCUCAGUUGGAUAGAGCAACUGACUUCUAAUCAGUAGGUCGCGGGUUCGAAUCCUGCCGGGCGUGCCA